UAACGGCGAGUGAAGCGGCAACAGCUCAAAUUUGAAAUCUGGCCCCAGGCCCGAGUUGUAAUUUGCAGAGGAUGCUUUUGGCGCGGUGCCUUCCGAGUGCCCUGGAACGGGACGCCACAGAGGGUGAGAGCCCCAUCUGGUUGGACACCAAGCCUAUGUAAAGCUCCUUCGACGAGUCGAGUAGUUUGGGAAUGCUGCUCUAAAUGGGAGGUAUAUGUCUUCUAAAGCUAAAUACCGGCCAGAGACCGAUAGCGCACAAGUAGAGUGAUCGAAAGAUGAAAAGCACUUUGAAAAGAGGGUUAAAUAGUACGUGAAAUUGUUGAAAGGGAAGCGCUUAUGACCAGACUUGGGCCCGGUGAAUCAUCCAGCGUUCUCGCUGGUGCACUUUGCCGGGCACAGGCCAGCAUCAGUUCGCCGCGGGGGAUAAAGGCUUCGGGAAUGUGGCUCCCUCGGGAGUGUUAUAGCCCGUUGCACAAUACCCUGGGGCGGACUGAGGUUCGCGCAUCUGCUAGGAUGCUGGCGUAAUGGUCAUCAGCGACCCGUCUUGAAACACGGACCAAGGAGUCGUCUUCGUAUGCGAGUGUUCGGGUGUAAAACCCCUACGCGUAAUGAAAGUGAACGCAGGUGAGAGCUUCGGCGCAUCAUCGACCGAUCCUGAUGUUCUCGGAUGGAUUUGAGUAAGAGCAUACGGGGCCGGACCCGAAAGAAGGUGAACUAUGCCUGUAUAGGGUGAAGCCAGAGGAAACUCUGGUGGAGGCUCGCAGCGGUUCUGACGUGCAAAU
rnacentral:rRNA from 1 species